CAUUGCUCGAAUUCCAGAGCGGUGCAGCCCCAGCCCUUCCGGUGCCUUGACAGCUCGUGCUGAGGGCUCAGCUGAUGCAUUGCAUUGCUGCUGGUCUGGACACAGUUGGUGGAGCUACCGAAGCUUGUGCUUUUGAGGCCAAUGGGAAUCACUGUCUUUGCAGCAUACCUGUGUUGGUGAGGAGGAAGAAAGCUGAGUGCAGUAGCUUGUAUAUCUGGGAAAGCCACAAGGACUCUCUGCUUUAUGAGUGGAAAAUGAAUCUUGCAACAUGCUUAUUACUAUUUACAGAAUGUCUGCAUCCCAUAAUGAACUUAUCCUCACAGCAUCUGCAGAAACUUGCUGAAUUCCUCCAGUGAAAGAUGAGUGUGGACAGUGGGUCAGACUGAGAUGAAGCAGUGCUUGGUGGGAAGAGCAGCUUCCAAAAUGAGAUGAGGCCAAGCUGUACAGAUUUCUAAAUCACGUUUUCUGUGGAUGUCACUGUCCUCCAUCUCUCCAGGUGUGGCAGAGAACAGAGGAGAGAACUCUGGGUUCCUCAGCCAGGGUCAGUGCUCAUGCUUGUGGCAGGCUGUGGAUGCAGCAGGGCUAGGACUUGCACAUUGGCAGAGCUGCACUUGCUGGAGAUGUGGUAAGCCUUACUGCAGCCUUGGUCCAAACACCCUCAAAUGCCUUGUCUGAGCCUGGCCUAUUGUGAAUGAUUUUCAAACCCUUUGGGUUCAUCUAGUGGUUGAGACCAGUUUUGCUGCAGUAGUAGUUUAGUUGAAGAUGUGGGUUCAGUGUUGUCUUCUUCAGCAGGGAACCAGCCUGUCAGUGUAGAGUAGCUUCGCCCCAGGAGAGGCAUGUCCCAAUUUGUCACUAUGCAGGAAUAAGUCAUGAAGGCUCAUCAAGUUUGAAGAAGUAUCCUCGUAUGUGGAGCCGUCUUGCCCGUCGUGAUGGAUAUGUGCUCGGAGAGUAAGUCCUGGCAAUAUUCUGUCUCCAACAGAUCUGGGGAGCCAUGCCUGGGAAGUUUUCCCUUUUUCUUGUGCAGCAGUAGCACAAAGGUAUCUUAUCCUGGGGUCGGCUGAGCCAUGCUGUGGUGGAGGAUGUCUACACCACAGAGGGGAAAAGCAGAAAGUACCUUUCUCAUUGCAGACACCAGCAGCC
rnacentral:lncRNA from 1 species